GACGAACCGAGCGAACGUUGUUCGGAAUCACUGGGCUUAAAGGGCGCGUAGGCGGGCGGUCACGUCCGGGGUGAAAUCCCACGGCUCAACCGUGGAACGGCCUCGGAUACGGGCGGCCUCGAGGGGGGUAGGGGCAUGCGGAACUGUGAGUGGAGCGGUGAAAUGCGUUGAUAUUCACAGGAACUCCGGUGGCGAAGGCGGCGUGCUGGACCCCACCUGACGCUGAGGCGCGAAAGCCAGGGGAGCAAACGGG
rnacentral:rRNA from 1 species